UGGACCAAGGACCAGAUGCUUCUUACCAGAAGAUGUUUGACACCGUUAUUAACUCCAAUGACAUUGAUGAUCACCACAAAGCUGGAGGAGCUGGUCCCACAGCUUUUCCUUCUUUAAAUAAGAUGCUUCAGGACCAACUUAUUGGGAAUUUGCGCCUUAAGAUGCUCUUAGUCCUUGGCGUCAUGCUUCUUACUAUCCUAAUUCUGCUGACUGUAGGAUUUCUCUAUGUUUGGGCUACAGAUACAGAUUAGAGAUUACAGUAUGACAAUGGACAGGUCCGGUACUGAUUUACCAAAGCACUUCAUUUUUGACGAUGCUCUGUAGCAAAUAAACGUCCUCUGGAGGCUGUGGAAUUCCAUCUAUGAAUAUUUUUUUCCAUAUUCUUUGCGCCUGUGAACAGUUAAAUGAUGUUAGAAGCACUGAAUGUUCAGCUGUUCUGGCUGGAGCCAACUUCAAGAGAAUAUAAUGGAACAUUGCACUUAACAAGUCAAGCCACAACAUAACAAUGAAAAGCAAAUGAAAAAAUGUUUAAAUGGGAAUCCAUUGUCUCAUCCUGCUUAAGAUUAUGUAAGGUGAUCACUGAGAAAACACAGAAAUUCACUGCUGAGACAUUGUGCUAGUGUUAAAAACAUGUCAAAUGCUAAUGCACAGUGUAUUUACUCUGCGAUCAUUAAACACAUUUAAAUGUU